CACUACCUUAGCAUUCAGUGUGAAGCUGUCAAAGUGCAAACACGAACAUGUUGAACAUUAAAGGUGCUGUGUUCCUGAUGGUAAUGCUUGCAACAGCCACUUCGUUCAUGUUGACCAACAGAGCGGAACAGCAAGAGAACCGUUUGAUUAUAUAUUGCCUGGGACAAUAUGAAAGUUGUGCUGGUACCAGCUUCAAAUGUUGCGAUGGAUAUACAUGCAAAACCAACAGUGAGGGUUUGGCCUGGUGUAAUGAUUAAAAGUGGCAGACAAAUUAGGUUGCAAUAUUCUUAUUUUUGGCAUCAAGCAAGAGCGCAAGCAACUUCAGUGUUUUGCAGUUUAUUUAAUUACUGGCAUGAUUUAAUGAAAGAAAAAACUUUUGGGCUUUAUUAAGUAGUGA